AGCCUGAGAAAGAUCCAGAGAGAUCUCCAGAAAAAGACCAACGCUGAGACCCCAGCAAGGCUGCAGAGAAGAUGGAUUCCAAACUUCAUGCCAUUUAAAACACCAGACAUGUAAUUUAAACGAACAGUCUUCCAAAGGCAGUGCUUUACAGGGAGGGGGAAAAAAGGCAAAGAGGUAGAAAGAGGGUCUUCUGGCAAUUCAAUAGUGAGUAGAAAAAGAGAAAAAGGGGGGAAACUGAGAAUUCUGCAAAACAAAAGGAAAUCACAGAUUAAGAGGACCCACAACCAGCCCCACUACAAAAACAAACAAAGCUCACGAAGGAGUCUGGAUUUUGCUAGGAUGAUGGCUAAAGGAACGUUAGACUAGGAGUUUUGUAAAACACCCCAAUAACACGAAAAUGAGCAAGAUGAAAGUAACACCCAUACAACAAAGGCAAACAUCUCACCUCUGUUCCCUGUUCCCUUACCUCAAAAGCAAUCAGGAGGCAGAAGAAAACAUAAGUCUACACUCCAAACAGAAAUAAAUACACUCAAGAAAGCAGCUGAGGAUAUAAGUGACCAUAACCAGACCAGCAGUUCAAAAACUCAGACCAGAAAUGGCCAAAAUGGGAAGACAUCAGAAAAAGAAAUUGAUUGAACUCAGGAGGGACAUGAACGAAAAAGACAAAAUUAUCCCAGUCAUGAAAAAUAAAUUAAAAGAUGACCAAGGGAGAAUAAACCCAAAUGAAAAUUUAGUCAGGACAAAGGCAAAGACAAAGAAACAAGUCGGAGAAUGAGAAGGACGUGAGUGAAACCAGCCAGUUAGAAGGUAGAAGGUGGUCAAAGGAGGCGAGGUCUUGGUGUGAUUGCAUGAAGGACCUGGAACAGCAGCGCUGGGCUCUGUGCAGUAGGAUGGCUAAGCAAAAGGCUGUCACAGUGGCCACAGCACCACUGGCCAGACCCCAGGGGUCACUCUUUUCCCAAGAGAGCUGAGGGCAUAAACAAUGAUAAGUUCUCCAGAGGAUGGACUUCCUGCAUACCCUGAGUUCAUCAUUACACAUUCUAUGCAUGUAACAAAAUACCACAGUUACCCACAAAUAGGUACACACAUUAUGUAUCAAUGUUUUGUUUUGUUUUAAUUUUUUAUUUUUUUUAAAAAAGGAAAAAUAAAUGAAUUCCACAUUCUUGUAUAAUCAGAGUGUCUACAGCGCUCCUAGAGGAACCCAAACCUUAUGGUCGCUGGAAAGAUAAAAACCAAUGGGCCAAUUGGAGUGAAACUCUGGCCCGGAAACGUGGGGGGCCAGCCCCCUCAGCACAGAUGCAACGCAGAGUUAUGGGAGGUGCCAACGACUCUGCUCUCUGUCCUGUCUCCUCAUCUGCAAAAUUAGAAAGCCUGUCUUGAGUAUUUCCAGGAACCUCCCACCUCUUGGUUCCAGCCACCGACAAACUCUGCACAUAAGGCCAGGAGAAGUCCCAGAACCAAGCCUCUUUUCUCAUUCUCUUCCCACAAGUGCUUGGAGCUACAAGGAGGCCCCCUUUCCACUAUGGGCAACCAGGUGCUCUGCUGUGUGGUCCUUUGUCUUCUCGGAGCAAACACCGUGGAUGGCGGAAUCACUCAGUCCCCAAAGUUCCUGUUCAGAAAGGAAGGACAGAAUGUGACCCUGAGUUGUGAACAGAAUUUGAACCACGAUGUCAUGUACUGGUACCGACAGGACCCAGGUCAAGGACUGAGAUUGAUCUACUACUCACAGAUAGUAAAUGACAUUCAGAAAGGAGACAUAGCUGAAGGAUACAGUGUGUCUCGGGAGAGGAAGCAAUCCUUUCCUCUCACUGUGACAUCAGCCCAAAGGAACCCAACAGCUUUCUAUCUCUGUGCCAGUAGUAUAGACACAGUGAAGCGCGGACGUCGCCUCUCUGUGCAUAAAUGUGCCCAGUCCUGCUUCCCCGACCAGGUGGCGGGGCUCCUCUGCACUGUGUGACGACAGGAAACGUCACU